CACGUAGGGGGCAAGCGUUGUCCGGAUUUAUUGGGCGUAAAGAGCUCGUAGGUGGUUCGGUAAGUCAGGUGUGAAACCUCCAGGCUCAACCUGGAGACGCCACUUGAUACUGCUGUGACUGGAGUCCGGUAGGGGAGCGUGGAAUUCCUGGUGUAGCGGUGAAAUGCGCAGAUAUCAGGAGGAACACCGAUGGCGAAGGCAGGUCUCUGGGCAUUAACUGACGCUGAGGAGCGAAAGCAUGGGGAGCGAGCAGG
rnacentral:rRNA from 1 species